GACGCUGGCGGCGUGCCUAAUACAUGCAAGUCGAGCGCGGGAAGCGGACAAUCACCCUUCGGGGUGUGCGUCCGUGGAACGAGCGGCGGAUGGGUGAGUAUCACGUGGGCAACCUGCCUGUAAGAUUGGGAUAACUCGCGGAAACGUGAGCUAAUACCGAAUGAAGUCUUUCGCCGCCUGGUGAAAGGAUGAAAGAUGGCUCUUGAGCUAUCACUUACAGAUGGGCCCGCGGCGCAUUAGCUAGUUGGUGGGGUAAAGGCCUACCAAGGCGACGAUGCGUAGCCGACCUGAGAGGGUGAUCGGCCACACUGGGACUGAGACACGGCCCAGACUCCUACGGGAGGCAGCAGUAGGGAAUCUUCCGCAAUGGACGAAAGUCUGACGGAGCAACGCCGCGUGAAGUGAUGAAGGUCUUCGGAUCGUAAAACUCUGUUGUCAGGGAAGAACAAGUUGUGUUCUAACAGGACAUGACCUUGACGGUACCUGACCAGAAAGCCCCGGCUAACUACGUGCCAGCCGCCGC
rnacentral:rRNA from 1 species